GAUGAACGCCGGCGGCGUGCCUAAUACAUGCAAGUCGAGCGAACAGACGAGGAGCUUGCUCCUCUGACGUUAGCGGCGGACGGGUGAGUAACACGUGGAUAACCUACCUAUAAGACUGGGAUAACUUCGGGAAACCGGAGCUAAUACCGGAUAAUAUAUUGAACCGCAUGGUUCAAUAGUGAAAGACGGUUUUGCUGUCACUUAUAGAUGGAUCCGCGCCGCAUUAGCUAGUUGGUAAGGUAACGGCUUACCAAGGCAACGAUGCGUAGCCGACCUGAGAGGGUGAUCGGCCACACUGGAACUGAGACACGGUCCAGACUCCUACGGGAGGCAGCAGUAGGGAAUCUUCCGCAAUGGGCGAAAGCCUGACGGAGCAACGCCGCGUGAGUGAUGAAGGUCUUCGGAUCGUAAAACUCUGUUAUUAGGGAGGAACAAAUGUGUAAGUAACUAUGCACGUCUUGACGGUACCUAAUCAGAAAGCCACGGCUAACUACGUG
rnacentral:rRNA from 1 species